GGAAAUAUUUUUGUAACUUGACGAUGGAUGUAUUUUUUUUAACGUGGGGUCCAGGUGGGAAGCAUAGGUGUUCACCCGAGAUGCGGAAAGGAAAAAAAAUUGGCAAAAGUCCCGACGUAUACCGUGGACUGUAGUUGCUCCAUGGCAACCAGGAUCCUUUGCGGUGCGCAACCCACAACACAAAAGACCUGCGGUUUUUGAUGAUCACCAUGGA
rnacentral:lncRNA from 1 species